rnacentral:rRNA from 1 species
AGAACGAACGCUGGCGGCAGGCUUAACACAUGCAAGUCGAGCGCCCCUCCUUCAAGCGAGCUUGAAGGAGUUUUUCCUUUGGAAGAAUUCAAGCAAGCGGAGCUUGCUUGAUGGAGGGGAGCGGCAGACGGGUGAGUAACGCGUGGGAAUCUACCUGGCUCUACGGAAUAGCUCCGGGAAACUGGAAUUAAUACCGUAUACGCCCUUCGGGGGAAAGAUUUAUUGGAGUUGGAUGAGCCCGCGUUGGAUUAGCUAGGUUGGUGGGGUAAUGGCCUACCAAGGCGACGAUCCAUAGCUGGUCUGGAGAGGAUGAUCAGCCACACGUGGGACUGAGACACGGCCCAGUACUCCGUAGGGAGCAGCAGUGGGGAAUAGUGGACAAUGGGACGAAAGCCUAGACUCCGAGACCAUGCCGCGUGAGUGAUGAA